rnacentral:lncRNA from 1 species
GAGAGUGUAAGCAACAGGCCUCCAUGAUGCCUAUGAAACAAAAGGAAAUAUCAUGGGAAUCAUUUUUUUUCAGCUUUAAUUGAGUUUAUUGGUACAUUUUAGGGAUACAGUACAGUUACAUUCAUUGUUGGGAUCUUGUACCUCUACAUGACAGUCUGUUUCACUGGAGCUGUGAAGUGACAGUUUUGUUAAUAUGUGAGAGAAC